rnacentral:tRNA from 1 species
GGCGGGGUCGUAGCGCAGAGGCAGGCGCGCGGUCUCCAAAACCGGAUCACGCUGGUUCGAAUCCAGCCGCCCCGCCG